CAGUAGCCACGGGAAUACAGAGGGUGCGAACGUUGCUCGGAAUUACUGGGCGUAAAGCGCGUGUAGGCGGGUCGGCAAGUCAGGCGUGAAAUCCCCAGGCUCAACCUGGGAACUGCGCUUGAAACUGCCGGUCUUGAGUAUCGGAGAGGGUGGCGGAAUUCCUGGUGUAGAGGUGAAAUUCGUAGAUAUCAGGAGGAACACCGGUGGCGAAGGCGGCCACCUGGACGAUAACUGACGCUGAGACGCGAAAGCGUGGGGAGCAAACAGGAUUAGAUACCCCCGUAGUCCCUGUCUCUUAUAC
rnacentral:rRNA from 1 species